UACGGGGGGAGCAAGCGUUGUUCGGAUUUACUGGGCGUAAAGGGCGCGUAGGCGGCCACUGCAAGUCAAUUGUGAAAUCUCCGGGCUUAACUCGGAAAGGUCAACUGAUACUGCAGGGCUAGAGUGCGGAAGGGGCAACUGGAAUUCUCGGUGUAGCGGUGAAAUGCGUAGAUAUCGAGAGGAACACCUGCGGCGAAGGCGGGUUGCUGGGCCGACACUGACGCUGAGUGCGCGAAAGCUAGGGGAGCGAACGGG
rnacentral:rRNA from 1 species